rnacentral:lncRNA from 1 species
AAGGACUGUGCUCCCAAUCCGCUUACGCUCAAGGAAGAACUGCCUGGAAGCCCUCCCUGGUACCAUACCCCAGCCGAUGAGUAUGUACCCCCAGAAGUACUUCCGCUCAGAGAAGAAGGAGACGGCAAGCAGGGUGUACAGGAAGGCCCAGAACCAGCCUGCUGUCAGGAUCAGAACAAAAGAGGAGGACUGCAUAUGUAUGGACCCACUCCAGAUGGCACGGGGACGGGGGGAGUAGGAAAAGUGGCAUGAGACCAGGCCCACAGAGUAUGGCUGUGCAAGUUGUUCACUCUACAAGGGCACCUGGCCGGGAGUCCCUCGGAUUGCUCCAGCCUCUUUGACCACUUUCCUUUGCCUUUCCACUUCCUUGAGAGAUGAGGAAAUGGAGGCACAGACUGAUUAGAAAACCAGCUCAAGGUCAUGUUGCUGCUCUCUCAUUCCUGUUGAGGGCUCUCUGGUGGAGCCUCUGUCUCACAGGUCACCUGCAGGCCAACACUCCCAGAAGCAGCUAGCACCAUGGUUGACCUCGUCCAGGUCCAGGGAAGGCCUCCCUCUCCAGGACUCCUUUAGAUUUCCCCAGCAUCCAGACCUCACCUGCCUAAGUGCUGUUGCCCUGGAAGCCACAGUGAGCACGAGCUCCAUCUUGC